GACGAACGCUGGCGGCGUGCCUAAUACAUGCAAGUUGAGCGAUGAAGCUUGGUGCUUGCACCAAUUUGAAGAGCAGCGAACGGGUGAGUAACGCGUGGGGAAUCUGCCUUUGAGCGGGGGACAACAUUUGGAAACGAAUGCUAAUACCGCAUAACAACUUUAAACAUAAGUUUUAAGUUUGAAAGAUGCAAUUGCAUCACUCAAAGAUGAUCCCGCGUUGUAUUAGCUAGUUGGUGAGGUAAAGGCUCACCAAGGCGAUGAUACGUAGCCGACCUGAGAGGGUGAUCGGCCAAAUUGGGACUGGGACACGGCCCAAACUCCUACGGGAGGCAGCAGUAGGGAAUCUUCGGCAAUGGACGAAAGUCUGACCGAGCAACGCCGCGUGAGUGAAGAAGGUUUUCGGAUCGUAAAACUCUGUUGGUAGAGAAGAACGUUGGUGAGAGUGGAAAGCUCAUCAAGUGACGGUAACUACCCAGAAAGGGACGGCUAACUACGUG
rnacentral:rRNA from 1 species